UUUGCAGCUAUGGCGAUAUGGUGCCGAAGACAAUCGCAGGAAAGAUUUUUGGCUCCAUCUGCUCCCUGAGUGGGGUUUUGGUAAUAGCCCUGCCUGUCCCUGUCAUUGUGUCCAAC
rfam:Lepisosteus oculatus linkage group LG3, whole genome shotgun sequence.